AACGAACGCUGGCGGCAUGCCUAAUACAUGCAAGUCGAACGAGAUCUUCGGAUCUUUUGGCGCACGGGUUCGUAACGCGUGGGAAUCUUCCCUUGGGUUCGGAAUAACUUCUGGAAACGGAUGCUAAUACCGGAUGAUGACGUAAGUCCAAAGAUUUAUGGCCCAAGGAUGAUCCCGCGUAGGAUUAGGUAGUUGGUUAGGUAAAGGCUCACGAAGCCGACGAUUCUUAGAUGGUCUGAGAGGAUGAUCAGCCACACUGGGACUGAGAAACGGCCCAGAAUCCUACGGGAGGGAGGAGUAGGGAAUAGUGGAAAAUGGGGGAAAGGAUGAACAAGCAAUGACGGGUGAGUGAUGAAGGCAUUAGGGUUGAAAAGCUCUUUUAACCGGGAAGAUAAUGACAGUACCGGGAGAAUAAGCUACGGCUAACUCCGUG
rnacentral:rRNA from 1 species